GGGAGGGGUUGAACAUCGAUAUAGCGAUUCCUCCGGGUAGGGUAAAAUAAGUCUUGUGAUGAAAAAAGGGUGAGAAAAGAAAAGGAAUCUGCCUGGUAGUGGGGGAUAACGCUCGGAAACGGACGCUAAUACCGCAUACGUCCUACGGGAGAAAGCAGGGGACCUUCGGGCCUUGCGCUAUCAGAUGAGCCUAGGUCGGAUUAGCUAGUUGGUGAGGUAAUGGCUCACCAAGGCGACGAUCCGUAACUGGUCUGAGAGGAUGAUCAGUCACACUGGAACUGAGACACGGUCCAGACUCCUACGGGAGGCAGCAGUGGGGAAUAUUGGACAAUGGGCGAAAGCCUGAUCCAGCCAUGCCGCGUGUGUGAAGAAGGUCUUCGGAUUGUAAAGCACUUUAAGUUGGGAGGAAGGGCAUUAACCUAAUACGUUGGUGUCUUGACUUUACCGACAGAAUAAGCACCGGCUAACUCUGUGCCAGCAGCCGCGGUAAUACAGAGGGUGCAAGCGUUAAUCGGAAUUACUGGGCGUAAAGCGCGCGUAUGUGGUUUGUGUAGUUGCCCCUGAAAUCCCUGGGGUUUUUUCUGCCUAGCUGCCUUUA
rnacentral:rRNA from 1 species